rnacentral:rRNA from 1 species
CCAGAGAACUUAGCAGAGAUGCUUUGGUGCCUUCGGGAACUCUGAGACAGGUGCUGCAUGGCUGUCGUCAGCUCGUGUUGUGAAAUGUUGGGUUAAGUCCCGCAACGAGCGCAACCCUUAUCCUUUGUGCCAGCGGCUCGGCCGGGAACUCAAAGGAGACUGCCGGUGAUAAACCGGAGGAAGGUGGGGAUGACGUCAAGUCAUCAUGGCCCUUACGGCCAGGGCUACACACGUGCUACAAUGGCGCAUACAAAGAGAAGCGACCUCGCGAGAGCAAGCGGACCUCACAAAGUGCGUCGUAGUCCGGAUUGGAGUCUGCAACUCGACUCCAUGAAGUCGGAAUCGCUAGUAAUCGUAGAUCAGAAUGCUACGGUGAAUACGUUCCCGGGCCUUGUACACACCGCCCGUCACACCAUGGGAGUGGGUUGCAAAAGAAGUAGGUAGCUUAACCUUCGGGAGGGCGCUUACCACUUUGUGAUUCAUGACUGGGGUGAAGUCGUAACAAGGUAGGCGUAGCGAG